rnacentral:rRNA from 1 species
GAUGAACGCUGACAGCAUGCUUAACACAUCAGCAACGGAUUGGUGGCGGACGGGUGAGUAACGCGUAAAGAACUUGCCUCACAGGUAGGGACAACCUUUGGAAACGAAUGCUAAUACCUAAUAGUGUGAGAGAGCUUUGCGUGCCAUUAGCUAGUUGGGGAGGUAACGGCUCACCAAGGCGAAGAUGGGUAGCCGGCCUGGGAGGGUGAUCGGGCACAAGGGGACUGAGACACGGCCCUUACUCCUACGGGCGGCAGGAGUGGGGAAGAUUGGACAAAGGAGCAAAUUCUGAUCCAGCAAUUCUGGGUGCACGAUGAAGUUUUCGGAAUGUAAAGUGCUUUCAGUUGGGAAGCGGUACCAACAGAAGAAGUGACGGCUAAAUACGUGCCAGCAGCCGCGGUAAUAC